UACGUAGGGUGCAAGCGUUGUCCGGAAUUAUUGGGCGUAAAGAGCUCGUAGGCGGUCUGUCGCGUCGGCUGUGAAAUCCCGAGGCUCAACCUCGGGUCUGCAGUCGAUACGGGCAAACUAGAGUAUUGCAGGGGAGACUGGAAUUCCAGGUGUAGCGGUGAAAUGCGUAGAUAUCUGGAGGAACACCGGUGGCGAAGGCGGCAUCCUGGACCGACACUGACGCUGAGGCGCGAAAGCUAGGGGAGCAAACGGG
rnacentral:rRNA from 1 species